ACGAUGAAGAGUUUGAUCCUGGCUCAGGAUGAACGCUAGCGGCAGGCUUAACACAUGCAAGUCGAGGGGUAUAGUUCUUCGGGACUAGAGACCGGCGCACGGGUGCGUAACGCGUAUGCAAUCUACCUUUUACAGAGGGAUAGCCCAGAGAAAUUUGGAUUAAUACCUCAUAGUAU
rfam:Flavobacterium sp. A45 NODE_93_length_8410_cov_13.3679_ID_185, whole genome shotgun sequence.